GUGAGUAACACGUGGGUGAUCUGCCCUGCACUUCGGGAUAAGCCUGGGAAACUGGGUCUAAUACCGGAUAGGACGAUGGUUUGGAUGCCAUUGUGGAAAGUUUUUCGGUGUGGGAUGAGCUCGCGGCCUAUCAGCUUGUUGGUGGGGUAAUGGCCUACCAAGGCGUCGACGGGUAGCCGGCCUGAGAGGGUGUACGGCCACAUUGGGACUGAGAUACGGCCCAG
rnacentral:rRNA from 1 species